rnacentral:lncRNA from 1 species
GUGGAGCUGGAAAGGUGGAGGCGGAAGUGACUGAUCAAUUCAGGGGCGUGGGGUUCGUUUAGGUUUUGCCCUGUGUAUGACCUCGUUUGGAGCCAUGAAACCAGAGUUUCGCUCUUUUUGACCAAGCUGGAGUGCAAUGGCGUGAUCUCGGCUCGCUGCAAUCUCUGCCUUCCAGGUUCAAGUGAUUCUCCUGCCUCAGCCUUCUGAGUAGUUGGGAUUACAGGUGGCUUUUCUACAAUAUAAAGAUGGAAAUGGGAAGAAGAUGUUCAUUGCAAAUUAAGGAAGCUCUUCCACGAGUUCACGAAUGGAAAUAACAUCAAGAGUUUUUCAUCUUCUUAGUGUGCAAGAUGUCUGAGGAAUAGUCUUAGUGGAUUAUCCCAAACUUGACACAUUUUUUGCAAAAUGCUAUACAAAAAGAAGAUACAUGCGAUUAUGACAAGAUUCUCCACUUGGUGUGACCAGUCUCAUACAACCCAAGGCUGUGUGUCCAAAGGCAACUGUACUGAAUACCGGAAAGCAUGUAUUUGUUUGCUAAAUUGCUCUCUUUCCACCAGUGAUAUCAAUUCUGAAAUACUUUUGAGAUCUUGACAAUAAUCAAAAGGUAGCCAGGUGCAUCGG